UUCUGGCUCAGGACGAACACUGGCGGCGUGCCUAAUACAUGCAAGUCGAACGGUCUUUUCUAUGGAAGCUUGCUUCCACUGAGAAGAUAGUGGCGAACGGGUGAGUAACACGUGGGUAACCUGCCCAUAAGAGGGGGGAUAACAUCCGGAAACGGGUGCUAAUACCGCAUAGUUUUCUUGAUCGCAUGAUCGGGAAAGGAAAGACGGCCUUUGUGCUGUCGCUUAUGGAUGGACCCGCGGCGUAUUAGUUAGUUGGUGAGGUAACGGCUCACCAAGACGAUGAUACGUAGCCGACCUGAGAGGUGAUCGGCCACAUUGGGACUGAGACACGGCCCAAACUCCUACGGGAGGCAGCAGUAGGGAAUCUUCCGCAAUGGACGAAAGUCUGACGGAGCAACGCCGCGUGAGUGAAAGAAGGUUUUCGGAUCGUAAAACUCUGUUGUCAGAGAAGAACAAGUUGGAGAGUAACUGCUCCAGCCUUGACGGUAUCUGACCAGAAAGCCACGGCUAACUACGUGCCAGCCGCCGC
rnacentral:rRNA from 1 species